rnacentral:lncRNA from 1 species
AUGAAGUUAAACCAGUGGACUAAAAUGGCAAUGGUGAAAUCUUUUUGCACACACAGGCGAAAAUGAAACCUUUGAACUAUACUGACAAAGUGGCGUAAACCACAAGUAAUAAAAUCGCCUUUAACUCUUGUUUAAGUUACAUACAUCAUGUUUUAUAUGGUAUUUCUAGCAAAAGAAAUAAACAACACAAGGGAAAAUUAUACAUCAAACAUAGGCCAUUUAUGCCAAUCCAAAGACCUAUUGUUGAUCCAUAAAUAGCUUAAAGAUUUGAUUUCGCCAACUUUUUUUAUUGAUCUUGACUGUGAUGCCCUCAAAUAUCCACUUAUUUCUUGUUCGCCAAAUGAUCCAACAGGUCACCAAAAAUGACAGCUUCAUGAUUUUCUUCCUUUUAUUGCUAGUCUUCGAUGGAAAAGAAAAAUAGCAAACACUUUGCACCACGAACUAACCGCUUGCCACACUAGACACUACCGAAGUGGUGAUAUAAGGAAAAAAAAUGAUAAGCAAAUUCGUCCUCAUUCCCGCAAAUAGACAUCCCAAAGAGCCUGUAACAUCUGCCAUAAACAGAACAGACCUCCGAAACGGCAAAACCCGACCCUUAUUGCAAAACCGGAUCAAUCGGAAAAUAAAUAAAAAUGGGAAUUUUUUAUUAUUUU